rnacentral:rRNA from 1 species
CUGAAUUUAAGCAUAUUAAUGAGGGGAGGAAAAGAAACUAACAAGGAUUUUCUUAGUAGCGGCGAGCGAAAAGAAAAGAGUUCAGCACUAAGUCACUUUGUCUUUAUGGCAAAUGUGAGAUGCAGUGUAUGGAAUGUCAAAUUUCUAGUAUGAGAAAUUAACGAUUUAAGUCCUUCUUAAAUGAGGCCAUUUACCCAAAGAGGGUGCCAGGCCCGUAUAACGUUAAUGAUUACUAGAUGGCAUUUCCAAAGAGUCGUGUUGCUUGAUAGUGCAGCACUAAGUGGGUGGUAAACUCCAUCUAAAACUAAAUAUAACCAUGAGACCGAUAGUAAACAAGUACCGUGAGGGAAAGUUGAAAAGAACUCUGAAUAGAGAGUUAAAUAGUACGUGAAACUGCUUAGAGGUUAAGCCCGAUGAACCUGAAUAUCCGUUAUGGAAAAUUCAUCAUUAUGAUUUUAAUAUUUAUAAUAUUAUAAUAAUGGUGUGCAUUUUUUCUAUAAAGGACAUUGUAAUCUAUUAACAUACAAAUAUUUAUCAUAAGAUCAAGGGCGUAAGUUUAUUCAAAUUAUUUUGCUUGCAAUUUAACAUAGAAUAAAUGUCUUUGAUUUGAUAAAGUGUUGAUAGAUUUAUUAUAUAUAGUGCUUAAAUAUUUAUAUUUUAUAAUAGCAUAUUAAUCAUUGAUUUUUAUGUUUAUUAUAUGCACUUAUAUGAUUAACAAUGCGAAAGAUUCAGGAUACCUUCGGGACCCGUCUUGAAACACGGACCAAGGAGUCUAACAUAUUUGCAAGUUAUUGGGAAUAAAAACCUAAUAGCGAAAUUAACAUAACUUAUUAAUGGGAUUAGUUUUUAGCCUAUUUAUAGUCUAUUAAUUCAAUCCCGGGGCGUUCUAUCAGUUAUGUAUAAUAAUAUUUAUAUUAUUUAUACCUCUAACUAGAGCGUACCUUGAGCAUAUAUGCUGUGACCCGAAAGAUGGUGAACUAUACUUGAUCAGGUUGAAGUCAGGGGAAACCCUGAUGGAAGACCGAAACAGUUCUGACGUGCAAAUCGAUUGUCAGAAUUGAGUAUAGGGGCGAAAGACCAAUCGAACCAUCUAGUAGCUGGUUCCCUCCGAAGUUUCCCUCAGGAUAGCUGGUGCAUUUAAAAAUUAUGUAAAAUAAUCUUAUCUGGUAAAGCGAAUGAUUAGAGGCCUUAGGGUCGAAACGACCUUAACCUAUUCUCAAACUUUAAAUGGGUAAGAACCUCACCUUUCUUGGUAUGAAGGUCGUGGUUGUGAUAUAAUGUGCCCAGUGGGCCACUUUUGGUAAGCAGAACUGGCGCUGUGGGAUGAACCAAACGUAAUGUUACGGUGCCCAAAUUAACAACUCAUGCAGAUACCAUGAAAGGCGUUGGUUGCUUAAAACAGCAGGACGGUGGACAUGGAAGUCGUAAUCCGCUAAGGAGUGUGUAACAACUCACCUGCCGAAGCAACUAGCCCUUAAAAUGGAUGGCGCUUAAGUUGUAUACCUAUACAUUACCGCUAAAGUAGAUGGUUUAUGUUCAAUUUCGGUUGGAUUAUAAACUUUGAAACUUUAGUGAGUAGGAGGGUACAAUGGUGAGCAUAGAAGUGUUUGGCGUAAGCCUGCAUGGAGCUGCCAUUGGUACAGAUCUUGGUGGUAGUAGCAAAUAAUCGAAUGAGACCUUGGAGGACUGAAGUGGAGAAGGGUUUCGUGUGAACAGUGGUUGAUCACGAGUUAGUCGGUCCUAAGUUCAAGGCGAAAGCCGAAAAUUUUCAAGUUAUAAUGAAAAGUAUAAAUAAUUUUACUUAGUAAUUAAACACUUGAAUAAUUUUGAACGAAAGGGAAUACGGUUCCAAUUCCGUAACCUGUUGAGUAUCCGUUUGUUAUUAAAUAUGGGCCUUGUGCUCAUCCUGGCAACAGGAACGACCAUAAAGAAGCCGUCGAGAGAUAUCGGAAGAGUUUUCUUUUCUGUUUUAUAGUCGUACUACCAUGGAAGUCUUUCGAAGAGAGAUAUGGUAGAUGGACUAGAAGAGCAUGACAUUUACUGUUGUGUCGAUAUUUUCUCCUCGGACCUUGAAAAUUUAUGGUGGGGUCACGCAAACUUCUCAACAGGCCGUACCAAUAUCCGCAGCUGGUCUCCAAGGUGAAGAGUCUCUAGUCGAUAGAAUAAUGUAGGUAAGGGAAGUCGG